rnacentral:rRNA from 1 species
CACNAGUGGCGAAAGCGGCUCUCUGNUCUGUCACUGACGCUGAGGCUCGAAAGCGUGGGUAGCGANCAGGAUUAGAUACCCUGGUAGUCCACGCCGUAAACGAUGAGCGCUAGGUGUUAGGCCCUUUCCGGGGCUUAGUGCCGGAGCUAACGCAAUAAGCACUCCGCCUGGGGAGUACGACCGCAAGGUUGAAACUCAAAGGAAUUGACGGGGGCCCGCACAAGCGGUGGAGCAUGUGGUUUAAUUCGAAGCAACGCGAAGAACCUUACCAGGUCUUGACAUCCCGAUGCUAUUCUUAGAGAUAGGAAGUUACUUCGGUACAUCGGAGACAGGUGGUGCAUGGUUGUCGUCAGCUCGUGUCGUGAGAUGUUGGGUUAAGUCCCGCAACGAGCGCAACCCUUAUUGUUAGUUGCCAUCAUUAAGUUGGGCACUCUAGCGAGACUGCCGGUAAUAAACCGGAGGAAGGUGGGGAUGACGUCAAUCAUCAUGCCCCUUAUGACCUGGGCUACACACGUGCUACAAUGGUCGGUACAACGAGUUGCGAGCCGGUGACGGCAAGCUAAUCUCUGAAAGCCGAUCUCAGUUCGGAUUGGAGGCUGCAACUCGCCUCCAUGAAGUCGGAAUCGCUAGUAAUCGCGGAUCAGCACGCCGCGGUGAAUACGUUCCCGGGCCUUGUACACACCGCCCGUCACGCCACGAGAGUUUGUAACACC